AAUGGGGGAAACCCUGAUCCAGCCAUCCCGCGUGUGCGAUGAAGGCCUUCGGGUUGUAAAGCACUUUUGGCAGGAAAGAAACGUCAUGGGCUAAUACCCCGUGAAACUGACGGUACCUGCAGAAUAAGCACCGGCUAACUACGUGCCAGCAGCCGCGGUAAUACGUAGGGUGCAAGCGUUAAUCGGAAUUACUGGGCGUAAAGCGUGCGCAGGCGGUUCGGAAAGAAAGAUGUGAAAUCCCAGAGCUUAACUUUGGAACUGCAUUUUUAACUACCGGGCUAGAGUGUGUCAGAGGGAGGUGGAAUUCCGCGUGUAGCAGUGAAAUGCGUAGAUAUGCGGAGGAACACCGAUGGCGAAGGCAGCCUCCUGGGAUAACACUGACGCUCAUGCACGAAAGCGUGGGGAGCAAACAGGAUUAGAUACCCUGGUAGUCCACGCCCUAAACGAUGUCAACUAGCUGUUGGGGCCUUCGGGCCUUGGUAGCGCAGCUAACGCGUGAAG
rnacentral:rRNA from 1 species